GAUGAACGCUGGCGGCGUGCCUAAUACAUGCAAGUCGAGCGAACGGACGAGAAGCUUGCUUCUCUGAUGUUAGCGGCGGACGGGUGAGUAACACGUGGAUAACCUACCUAUAAGACUGGGAUAACUUCGGGAAACCGGAGCUAAUACCGGAUAAUAUUUUGAACCGCAUGGUUCAAAAGUGAAGGACGGUCUUGCUGUCACUUAUAGAUGGAUCCGCGCUGCAUUAGCUAGUUGGUAAGGUAACGGCUUACCAAGGCAACGAUGCAUAGCCGACCUGAGAGGGUGAUCGGCCACACUGGAACUGAGACACGGUCCAGACUCCUACGGGAGGCAGCAGUAGGGAAUCCUCCGCAAUGGGCGAAAGCCUGACGGAGCAACGCCGCGUGAGUGAUGAAGGUCUUCGGAUCGUAAAACUCUGUUAUUAGGGAAGAACAUAUGUGUAAGUAACUGUGCACAUCUUGACGGUACCUAAUCAGAAAGCCACGGCUAACUACGUGCCAGCAGCCGCGGUAAUACGUAGGUGGCAAGCGUUAUCCGGAAUUAUUGGGCGUAAAGCGCGCGUAGGCGGUUUUUUAAGUCUGAUGUGAAAGCCCACGGCUCAACCGUGGAGGGUCAUUGGAAACUGGAAAACUUGAGUGCAGAAGAGGAAAGUGGAAUUCCAUGUGUAGAGGUGAAAUGCGCAGAGAUAUGGAGGAACACCAGUGGCGAAGGCGACUUUCUGGUCUGUAACUGACGCUGAUGUGCGAAAGCGUGGGGAUCAAACAGGAUUAGAUACCCUGGUAGUCCACGCCGUAAACGAUGAGUGCUAAGUGUUAGGGGGUUUCCGCCCCUUAGUGCUGCAGCUAACGCAUUAAGCACUCCGCCUGGGGAGUACGACCGCAAGGUUGAAACUCAAAGGAAUUGACGGGGACCCGCACAAGCGGUGGAGCAUGUGGUUUAAUUCGAAGCAACGCGAAGAACCUUACCAAAUCUUGACAUCCUUUGACAACUCUAGAGAUAGAGCCUUCCCCUUCGGGGGGGCAAAGUGACAGGUGGUGCAUGGUUGUCGUCAGCUCGUGUCGUGAGAUGUUGGGUUAAGUCCCGCAACGAGCGCAACCCUUAAGCUUAGUUGCCAUCAUUAAGUUGGGCACUCUAAGUUGACUGCCGGUGACAAACCGGAGGAAGGUGGGGAUGACGUCAAAUCAUCAUGCCCCUUAUGAUUUGGGCUACACACGUGCUACAAUGGACAAUACAAAGGGCAGCGAAACCGCGAGGUCAAGCAAAUCCCAUAAAGUUGUUCUCAGUUCGGAUUGUAGUCUGCAACUCGACUACAUGAAGCUGGAAUCGCUAGUAAUCGUAGAUCAGCAUGCUACGGUGAAUACGUUCCCGGGUCU
rnacentral:rRNA from 1 species